rnacentral:rRNA from 1 species
AUUGAACGCUGGCGGCAUGCUUUACACAUGCAAGUCGAACGGUAACAGGCCGCAAGGUGCUGACGAGUGGCGAACGGGUGAGUAAUGCAUCGGAACGUGCCCAGUCGUGGGGGAUAACGCAGCGAAAGCUGCGCUAAUACCGCAUACGAUCUAUGGAUGAAAGCGGGGGACCGUAAGGCCUCGCGCGAUUGGAGCGGCCGAUGUCAGAUUAGGUAGUUGGUGGGGUAAAGGCUCACCAAGCCAACAAUCUGUAGCUGGUCUGAGAGGACGACCAGCCACACUGGGACUGAGACACGGCCCAGACUCCUACGGGAGGCAGCAGUGGGGAAUUUUGGACAAUGGGCGCAAGCCUGAUCCAGCAAUGCCGCGUGCAGGAAGAAGGCCUUCGGGUUGUAAACUGCUUUUGUACGGAACGAAACGGUCCGGGUUAAUACCCUGGGCUAAUGACGGUACCGUAAGAAUAAGCACCGGCUAACUACGUGCCAGCCGCCGCCGUAAUAC